UGUGUUUACGAAAUCAACGUAAAACUAAUGAUUCUGUCGCAAAGAAAACCACCAUUGCACGUAUAUGCAACACUUAACGUUGAUAACGUGUUGCGUGUCGGUGCAAAGCUGAUACUAAAAGCCACUUUACUCCACAUCAGAAUCAGCGGGUUCACGUUUGACAACAUUUGACAAUUCUUCCUAGCAACCACAACUUUUUUUUCGCAUUUGAAUUUUGUGUUGACGAUAGUUUUAAAGCGUUAAUGUUACCAUGGUUACCUUUAGCUGGUGUGGUCAUAUAUCUCUAAGACAGUCAUUUUGGAGAGUCUGAGUGGUUGUCGUCGUUCCAACAGUUGUUUCAUUGACCUUUUAGCUUUAGCUCCAGUGUUGACGUUCUUACAACUGCUGUAAUUCUUUCAUCGUUUACGCAAUUAUUUUAUCGUAAUUCCAUCGGAUUCUGAAGCGGAAAAAAAGCAGGUUGGUGCUGUUAUGUAACACUUUACAGUGGUAAAGUGCUUACGCCACCAACAAUUCAGCUGAUUUUGCUUUUCAUAUCUGCUUAAAAAGCCGCUCUUCUCCACGUCAGAAUCAGCUGAUUCACGUUGAUUGUGUUGUUACGGUCAAAGAUUUACGGUUUGUCAAAUUUAGGCGUCACCGGUAACAUCUCUGGCGGUAAAGGGUGAAGAGCUUAAUCUGAGCUUGUUUGUGUUCCGACUCGUGGUUGACAUUGACAUCAUAAGCAGGAAGAAACAGAAGAUCAGGAAAGCAACAAAGAUCAGGACCCUAAGAAGAUAAAGGUCUGAUGAAGAGGAGCUGCACUCAAGGGUACAUGGUGUUUCCUCUCAGUGAGCCCCAGAGAGGAAAAAAGAGGGCUCCCCAUGAAUAUUCAGGGUGAGACGUGCUCACCAUUGUAAGGCGUCGUAGGAGGCUGCAAACGCGGAGAAAACCAGCCAGGACCCGAAUCUGAGCCCUAUCAUGGUUCCACCUUUGGUAAGAGAUAGUGUUGACCAGUUCAGUCAAGCUUUUUGGACUGGAGAAGCUCAAGAAGAUCCAGACAAGAAACAGACUUUUAUAUAACAUUGAACAUUGAUCUUCACAAGACAGAAACUUGUUGAACAAACUUUGAGGUCAACAGAGUCUUUACAUAUUCUACUUCUGCGAUCUUUGAUCCGAUCAAAGACAUUUUGCACAUGGAACCGCAGCCUCCUGGAAAAGUCUAUUGGCAUUAAGGGGUGGGGGAGAUGAGAUAUAGAUGUUAUCACUGAAGUAGAAUCACAUAUGUUGUCAUGUUUAGCGGCCACAUUCAUGCAGACACCUGCUGCUCAAGUUUGAGUAAAAAAAAAAAAAACAACACUUUUCUCCACGUUUCUGACUGAAACGCUCCGCUUCAGCCGCGUCACUCGAGCCCAACGGUAGUUUUGACAGCUCCACAGGAGCGAGUGCGGGAACAAAAACCGGUUUCGGGGGAGUUGGGGAGAGAAUAAAGGACUCUUCUCAACGAGAACAUUCAUUUUUCUCUGACAGGAUCUGACGGUUUGAAUAAGGAAGGCUUUCAACAGCGUAGUUCGUAUCGACAUGCAUUUCCUUUGAGAAAUGUAAGUGUGAUGAUUUUUGGUUUGAAAAAAUGCAAAGAAUAAUAAUCCGUCAUGGGGGGUUUGAAAACAACUUUAAUCCUUUUUUUUCACAGGUCAGACAAUUGAAAUGAAAAAAUAAGGAACAAAAAUAGAAAACCAAGUGUUGUUUUUUAAAUUUUGCACAAAGAAGCUCCCUAAUAUCAAUUUUGUGCAGUUUUAAAUAAUUGUAUGCAUUUUAUUUGGUAACAUGCUGAAAACAGAUCCACUGGAAUAUCACAUUUUGAUCAGUCACCUUCAAAGAUACCGUGUCUGUGUGUUUUUUCCUUCACAAUAAAAGCUGAAGUUCCUGCUGAGUGUGAGCUGCUUCAGGCCUCCCAACAGGAGCUGGUCGGUCUGCAUGGAACUGGGUGACGUUUUUCAGGUCACACAAACAAAUCAUAAAGCAACGCAGGACAAUUGUUGCAGCUGAUGUUGUUUCAUCGCUUUAUGGAAACUCUCUUUGAACCCUGGAGAGGAGGAAGCACAGCUGCAGAGGGGGAAGCGUGGGAAACUCUGAAAUGAAUCCUGAUGCUAUGAGACGGAUAGAAACGUGAUGUCAUCCUAAAAGAACUAAAAGAAUGAUUCAAAUUUCUAUAAUUAAAAGCCAAUAAAUAUUGAAGUCAAUACUAUUUAUGAUUUAUGAAUCAAGGUGGUGUUUAUUGGAGUUUGUAACAUGUUCUUGUGACAUUUGUUUGAUGAUGGAGGACAUAUUUAAAGGAAAUUAAGCUAAAUAAAUUGCAUUUAUGAAUAUUCUUUGGGUCAAAUCGUUGUACAUCAGGAGCAGACGAAGAAAUGCUGUUGGGAAAAAUAGCAUUUUUGUAACAGAAAAAUGGCCGGGCGGGGCACAAGCUCCCUGCUCUGCUCCAUUCGGAUGCAUUGACUUAUAAACAAAUGGAUCCAUCUACGUCUUUGUUUUCCUCGUCUGAGCUGGCGUCUGACUCAAAUUUGUAGGACUAGAUGGCUUCGAUCUUGCUCGCCAUACCUUUUGCCAUGCUAAUGUUAGUUUGGGGGUGUGAGGGGCUAUAAGCUGGCGAGGGAGUGUGUAAACUCUCAGCAAUGGGGGAGGGGGCGGGGUUUGUCCCCGCCAAAGCUCUGCUGUCGCUCUGCAGAAACUAUGUCCUAGAAAAUGACAGAGUUUUAUGAUUGUGACUUAAAAACAGCAGAGUCGUCAUUAAAUGACCACUCAGAUGGCGUUUCAAAUAGAUCAAAAGAUGAUCGGAGCGGGACUUUAAGCUACAUUUUCACUUCUUUGAAGGAGAGAAGGCAAUACGUUUAAAAAAGAUUGCAGUAUUUUUAAGUUUUUAUCUAUAAAAAAACAAAAAAUUACAUUUGUUUUCCUACGUUGUGAUUUAUAAAGUCUACGAAAAAUUUGUAACACUGCUGAUAUUGUUUUUGCACCCUUUUACUCAGACUCGAAAAGGAAAAAUGUAAAAAAUAAAUCAGGUCAAAUAUUUCAGAGAAUUUUAUGUCAGACACAUAAAUUUCUGAACAGAAUAUUUUUUUGCGAGAAAUUUGUUGCUAAAUAAAUAAUAAAUUGUGA